GUGAAACUUUGGCAGCACAUAUCCUAAAAUCAUAACAAUACAGAGAAGAUUAAUAUGGCACUUGUGCAAAGGAUGACACAUAAUUAAUCUCUUAUUUUAU
rnacentral:snRNA from 1 species